rnacentral:rRNA from 1 species
ACGAUACGUAGCCGACCUGAGAGGGUGAUCGGCCACACUGGAACUGAGACACGGUCCAGACUCCUACGGGAGGCAGCAGUAGGGAAUCUUCCGCAAUGGGCGAAAGCCUGACGGAGCAACGCCGCGUGAGUGAUGAAGGUCUUCGGAUCGUAAAGCUCUGUUGUUAGGGAAGAACAAAUGUGUAAGUAACUGUGCACAUCUUGACGGUACCUAACCAGAAAGCCACGGCUAACUACGUGCCAGCAGCCGCGGUAAUACGUAGGUGGCAAGCGUUAUCCGGAAUUAUUGGGCGUAAAGCGCGCGUAGGCGGUUUUUUAAGUCUGAUGUGAAAGCCCACGGCUCAACCGUGGAGGGUCAUUGGAAACUGGAAAACUUGAGUGCAGAAGAGGAAAGUGGAAUUCCAUGUGUAGCGGUGAAAUGCGCAGAGAUAUGGAGGAACACCAGUGGCGAAGGCGGCUUUCUGGUCUGUAACUGACGCUGAUGUGCGAAAGCGUGGGGAUCAAACAGGAUUAGAUACCCUGGUAGUCCACGCCGUAAACGAUGAGUGCUAAGUGUUAGGGGGUUUCCGCCCCUUAGUGCUGCAGCUAACGCAUUAAGCACUCCGCCUGGGGAGUACGGUCGCAAGACUGAAACUCAAAGGAAUUGACGGGGACCCGCACAAGCGGUGGAGCAUGUGGUUUAAUUCGAAGCAACGCGAAGAACCUUACCAAAUCUUGACAUCUUUUGACCACUCUAGAGAUAGAGUUUUCCUCUUCGGAGGACAAAAUGACAGGUGGUGCAUGGUUGUCGUCAGCUCGUGUCGUGAGAUGUUGGGUUAAGUCCCGCAACGAGCGCAACCCUUGAGCUUAGUUGCCAUCAUUAAGUUGGGCACUCUAAGUUGACUGCCGGUGACAAACCGGAGGAAGGUGGGGAUGACGUCAAAUCAUCAUGCCCCUUAUGAUUUGGGCUACACACGUGCUACAAUGGACAAUACAAAGGGCAGCAAAACCGCGAGGUCAAGCAAAUCCCAUAAAGUUGUUCUCAGUUCGGAUUGUAGUCUGCAACUCGACUACAUGAAGCUGGAAUCGCUAGUAAUCGUAGAUCAGCAUGCUACGGUGAAUACGUUCCCGGGUCUUGUACACACCGCCCGUCACACCACGAGAGUUUGUAACACCCGAAGCCGGUGGAGUAACCAUUUGGAGCUAGCCGUCGAAGGUGGGACAAAUGAUUGGGGUGAAGUCGUAACAAGGUAGCCGUAUCGGAAGGUGCGGCUGGAUCACCUCCUUU